AUUUCCUUAAGGUAUCAGCACAUAACACUUUUCACUAAUUUGGCCAGUUAGCAAUGCUCUGGUUUGUGCCAGUCAGGAAUUGAGAGCGUCAGUAGUCUCUGCAUAAAUAACCAUCAGACUCGAGGUCAACACUGAGAGAGGGACUGCAUACAGUUUUGUUCAAGCAUACCCCUUCAAGUUAUAAUUGCAAUACACUAUGCUGGAUACAAAUGACCUUUCGAUUUGAACUAUUCAUAUUGUGUAAUUUGAUGACCUGGGCAGGAUCCAGGUUUCGGUUGUUAGCAACUAUAAUGAUCAGACUCUUUUCUCUUUUUGUAGGUAUGCUGGUCUUGAUGUGGUUUUGGACUGAAUGUUUCUCACUUGGAGGAAUGCUUUUUGCUAAAAUCAAUAUAUUUUUCAGUCCCCAACGAUUUUAUUCCUCAGCGCCCAAUGGACUUCUAUCAAUAUUUUCUUCCAAACAAUGUAUUGAAUUGACUAUGAUUCAUUGGAGUUAUUUGACAGAGAGAAAUAUUCUCUGUAUACUGGAUACAGUUACUCAUGAUAGGUCCUUUUACUCCCUAGCGACAAAUACACUCAUUUUUAGUUUUAUGUACCGCCAUUGACAUAUAUCUUUUCUUCCAAACUGUGAGACAUUAUGUAAAUGUACAUCGGGGAAUGUAUUAUGUACAUGUAUAUUAUUUCAAAUGGGUCUCUGCGAACAUGGUAGCAAGUAUUUUGUGCUAUCAGAUUAGAAUGUGUGUAUACAUCUCAUUGUUGACAACAAUGCACCAUAAUUAAGUUUCCCUUCUUUCAGCUUAUUUGUUGCUACCUGAGAUAGUACCAAGUAUGAUCUUUGGUUUGCCAUGUACGACACCGCGGAGUCAUUUUAUUAAGCUGGCAUUAGUAAUUUUGCAUUUUACAUAGUUCAUGUGCAAGUUAAACGUAUGUCCAAUAAUUACUAAUAUUAAGUUUAUAAUGUUGGCACAGUCUGUUAUUGCCGUUAUCUUCUUGGGAGUACUUGAGAAGGCGUGGCUGGGAAUGUGGGGACAUGCCAUGGCAGAGGCGCAUGGUCGGCAGGAGGAGUCAGGGAGGCCUGAAGGUGGACAUGUGGAUGUUAUCGCGGCAUUGACACAUUUCGCUCCACCGAUGCUACAUACCAGGGUGAGUGAAUGCUAUCAUGGCCUUAGAUGCCUUGUCUAAUUCUUGCUUGAAUUUUUGGUUUUGUAUGCUUGGAUGUAUGUUCAGUUCCUACAUUGUUUUUCUCAUGUGGAGUUGAAACCACAUCUGGUUGGUCCAAUAGCAAAUAAUGGUAUGUUUCACUCUGAAAUCAUAUUGCAUAUAGAGAGAUGUUCAUUGUUAGUCAUUGGGUUGUGGUAUGAACUGACGACUUUUAUAGUCAGUUUACCGUGUCAUCUAUUUAGAAUCAAGCAAAUUUGGGCCUAAAAAACAAUCAGGUCGACACAGUAAUUUUGGCAAAACGAGAGACUGUGAUUUUCCUCUCUUUAAUUUUGAAUUAUCUUUGACAGGAAAAUGUUUCCUUUUUUUGGUCUAACCUGUCGUAAUUUUGUCUCGUCGGUCCAUCUAUAUGAGAACCUUCGAAGUGGAAGUCACAAGGUGGAGCCUUUGACAGGAAAAUGUUUCCUGUGUUUUGGUCUAACCUGUCGUAAUUUUGUCUCGUCGGUCCAUCUAUAUGAGAACCUUCGAAGUGGAAGUCACAAGGUGGAGCCUUUGACAGGAAAAUGUUUCCUGUUUUUUGGUCUAACCUGUCGUAAUUUUUUCUCGUUGGUCCAUCUAUACGAGAACCUUCUAUGUGGAAGUCACAUGGUGGAGUCUCAGUAUGUUUUUAUUCAAGGUAAGCUGAAAAGUUUUUACAUGAUAUUUGAACUGAAACUUAACUAUGUCAUGACUGAUACUUCAUUUAAGACUCCUGGCUGAUACUAUGACCAGAUCUUCUCCGUCUUGAUUCUUAAUGCCUUCUUCGUUUUAGUCUCCAUCUACAUGUGCAAUCAAUAUUUUGCUAGAGAUGUCUAUAUAAUUGUAUUGCACAUUGUUUUUCUGCUAUCUAAAUAACACUUUAGUUGGCUUUGGCGGUGGUGGUGCAGGAUUUGUUGGAAGCCACAGAGCGCACCCGAGAAAGAGAGGAGGAGAAUGCUCUGAAGAGAGGAAAUGAUAAGUUUUAUUGUUUUGUUUUAAGAGAAAGGGAUUUGAUAUGUAGUCCUCUGGCUUAUUUGUAUUCUACUAUGUGUAUGGCCAAAGAAAUCAUGAUUUCAUACACAUAUAUUUUUAAACAAAACCCUAUGUAUGUUUUGCUCAAACAGUGUCAUUGGAAAGCGCUCAUAUUUUCAAUGCGUACAUGAUUUUAAAUGGUUCUUUGUGAAGAUGGUAGCAAAUAUUUUGUGCUAUCAAAUUAAAAUGUGUGUAUAUACAUCUCAUUGUAGACAACAAUCGACCAUGUUUCUUAUUAAAGGUUAUUGCACCAUGGAUAAUUUUUUCC
rnacentral:lncRNA from 1 species